AACUAGAAACAAGAUGAAAUCCAUUGAUUUUUCUUUAGGUGGAACUGAAAAGCCUAAAGCUUCAAGGGCAAAGAUGAGGAACGUGGAUGCUCCCGGAAUCAUAGGAAAAUCAGCAACUGGUGAUGGGGAUGAAUCCCAUUAUACAGACAUAUGUGCGCUUGAUAAAGCAAAAACAUACGAAGAACUUUCUCGUGACACCGAGGCUGUUGACAUAAUAUAAGGAAAUGUUCAGAAGUAGAGGUGUCAUAAGUUUACUACUGAGCAACAUUAUCAGAAAACUCUUAUGUUUUCAACAAAUUGCAACCGUGCAUUUGAAUUGUAUAUUCCGCAUUUUUUAAGAUAUUGAUCUUAUCCUGAAGUUUACUUUUAAUUUAAUAUUGAUUAAAGGACUUAAGCAUAGAUAAUUAUAAAUUAAGCUUGAUUGAAUGACCAGCAAAUUUCUUUAUCAGAAGCAUGUUUGUA